UCCAACACAAUAUUAAUGUUCAACAGAUCAAGACUUUUGAAAUGAUACCUCACCAGGCAGACUUUGUACAAUCCAUGUCAUCAUUAUAUGAGAGUGGUGAAUAUGGGGCUUCCAGAGUGCUGCUUUGAGCACAGGGUGCCACACCUGGACUUCCAUUGCAAUGGAGACGUACCCUUAGAGUCCAUCUCUCCUGGGAUAAAGAUGGCAGCAGGGUCGGCCUGGGUCAUCUGACUUGGGCUCAUGGAGCUAAAGCUGAGGAGCUAAAAGCUGUAGUGCAGAUAUUUGUGUUCACACUGAAGCCUGGGUUCAGAAACCCUCACCCCUGCUGGGGUCUCAGAGGUUGGGUUCAAGUCCAUAUGUCUGCCCUGUAAUUUUAUAAAGGUAGGGAGGGAGUUUAGCAAGUGGAAAUGGUAAAACUGCAGUGAAGUAUUAUCCUGGACUCAUGGUAUUUCUCCAUUGGUCUGUCUGCUUUGGGGCAGGGACA